GCCCCUACGGGGCGCAGCAGUGGGGAAUAUUGCACAAUGGGGGAAACCCUGAUGCAGCGACGCCGCGUGAGUGAAGAAGCGUUUCGGCGCGUAAAGCUCUGUCAGCGGGGAAGACACACGGUUCGCAAGAGCCGCGGACGGUACCCGACCAAGAAGCCCCGGCUAACUACGUGCCAGCAGCCGCGGUAAUACGUAGGGGGCAAGCGUUAUCCCGAUUUACUGGGUGUUAAGGGUGCGUAGGUGGCAGGGCAAG
rnacentral:rRNA from 1 species